rnacentral:rRNA from 1 species
UACGGGGGGAGCAAGCGUUGUUCGGAUUUACUGGGCGUAAAGGGCGCGUAGGCGGCCACCGCAAGUCGGUUGUGAAAUCUCCGGGCUUAACCCGGAAAGGUCAAUCGAUACUGCGGGGCUAGAGUGCAGAAGGGGCAACUGGAAUUCUCGGUGUAGCGGUGAAAUGCGUAGAUAUCGAGAGGAACACCUGCGGCGAAGGCGGGUUGCUGGGCUGACACUGACGCUGAAGCGCGAAAGCUAGGGGAGCGAACAGG